AAACCACCACGUGAAGGGGAACUCAGCCAACGCCAAGGAACGGUUGUGUUUUCUCAAACUAAAAAUAUGUUUUACGUGUAUACGAAAUUCUUAACAGCCUUGGUGGGCUCGAGUGUACGCCUCUGAUCAAGGUGUCAUCGAGUAUAUUUGAUGGCAUGAGCCAACUGUUUAUGAAAGUCAUAAGCCCUAAUGAGAAAUUAAAUGAAAUACAACCGUUUGCAUGGGUUGGG
rnacentral:lncRNA from 1 species